AUCAUAGUGGGCGUGACUGUCAAUAUGUUUAGGUUUCUAGUUUGGAAAAAACACAGGCUCAGUUGGUAAGAAAUGAAACUGAAAGGCAAAACUUAAGGGACUGUCAUACACUGACCUACCCGCUUUAAAUGAAGAUAACUUUACUUUCACAUGUCCAGUUAUACAUGUAAGAUGUUUCGCGACGAUCCCUCGAGUUAGGUAAAGGGUGGAGUUUAUGAAUGUUGGCAGGUGAGCGUUAGAAGGUAUUGGCAAAUGUAUCUUACUUUAGUGGUUGUAUUGCUGCAACGGACAGAUGUCUGAAUAGUAUUGUAGCAGAGAACAAAUUUGUCAGUGAGAGAUUAAGAGAGUGUCUGUAACGUCCAAAACUACCAGAGAGGAUACACAACAUACAGAGCAAUAUAUCCCGGCCUGGUGGGCUGGCCAGCAGCUCUGCAGAUGGAGCUUGGGUAAGGUGACAGUAGUCACCAAGGAGAUCAUGGGUCCUUGUCCCAGCAGUGCCCUGGGGUGCCAACAGGGAAACAUCAGCACAACAUGGAGGUAACUGCAGAGAAGGACACUGUCUCUAAGAGACCCAAGACAGAGGGACAGCAGGACCAAACAAAGUCCCCCAGAAGAGAUCAGGAUAUGAAGAAGAAGACAAGGAGAGGUAAUAGAAGAAAAAGUAAAGGAAUGAAAAAUCAAGCUGACAAGGAUCCUCAGACUCAGAGUACACUGGAAAAAGGGCAGACCAUCCAGGUGUGUCAAACCUUGGAAACACAUACACAAGAACACAACCAAGACCAAGACCACCAAGCUGAAACCAGUCAACAACAGGAACAGUCCAUGCAUCAGCCUAAUGAUACAAAACAAACACAUGUCAAGGAUGCUAAGAGAGUUCACGUCCAGACUCAAACAAAUAAACCUAAAGGCAAGAACCGGGCAACUCAGACCCCUUUAGUUGUUCAGAACACACAGCAGACACAGACAGAACCCUCUGAUUCCACUCAGCCAAUGACAGAUGAACAUGCUGACACCACUCAGCCAAUGAAUGAGCAAACACAGAACAGCGAUGGAGCAGGCAGUGAAGGAGCAGCAUCAGAACCACCUAAGAGGGAGAAUCCAAACUCUACCGAAGAGGUAAAGAGUAAGCCCGAAUCAGAGAAAGGGGUACAACAUUCAGGAGAAAGCUCAGGGAGUCCCGCAGCCUGCCAGGUAAAACAGGGAGUCAAAUUAACUACCAAGUCUUAUGCAGAAGCUGCAGCGGAAGAUAAAACAAAGACUCAGAAGAGGUCGAGUCCUCAGACUUCAAAUCAAUGCAAAAAGGAUUCCAAGAGUAGAGGAUGUCGAGAGCGGUCCCCAGUAAGGAUUCCUCCUGGGAUUCCUAUGUUCACCUUUCAUAUCUAUGCUGUGCUGAACAAAAAGUUCAGAUUCAACCAAGAAUAUGACACACUCUUGUUAUGUCAUCAAGAUGAAACUCAUGCACUUGAAAUGACUCAUUUCGUGUGA
rnacentral:lncRNA from 1 species